CAAGGUAACGUGAAUAUGAAAUGGCAUGUUAAAUUUCCACCUAUUGGCCAUGUAGAUUACCACCAUGAACCUCCAUUGAACUUUUCCUCUUCAUCUUUAACCAUCAUCAACACACAAUGCCCAUCCUUCACCACUCUCGACCUCACCAAACAUCGCAAGCCACCACACCACCUAUUUUCAAUCGAUUACCAAAAACUUUCAAACCCUAUAUAAACUAAACACACACUUGCUAAAACUAAUAUCUUCACUCCUUCAUCUUUAACCUCCCAUACAAAUUACCACCACCCUUUAUGCAUGGCUUACACUUUUCACCAUAUUCACUUCAGACACUUCACCAUCCUCUACUUCUCUCACUCUCAAAAACCACCAGAACUCUUAUAACCUCGAUCCUUAUUGCCUCUCACUACACCACCUCCCUCAAUCACCAUCAAACUCGACAUUCUCUCUCAACUUUUACACUCAUCAGAAUUAGUAAGCUUCACUAUCAUCAUUCCUUUUUCUCACCCCCUUUCUUAAUAGAACCACCACCAUCACAAUAACAAAAACACCAAACAAAAACCAAAAAACUACAACUCAACAAACCAAUAAAAAUUAUCAAACACAGAAGAAGAAGAAGAAGAAGAAGAAGAAGAAGAAGAAGAAGAAUAAAAUAUCUUUUUAAGACAAAAGCAAACCUAUAAUAAGCAAAGUUAAGAAUAAAAAUAAUCCACAAAAGAAAAACAAAGAAAGAGAACAAGUAAGAAAAAAUAAGAAAAAAGAGC
rnacentral:lncRNA from 1 species